rnacentral:rRNA from 1 species
GACGAACGCUGGCGGCGUGCUUAACACAUGCAAGUCGAACGGAAAGGCCCUGCUUUUGUGGGGUGCUCGAGUGGCGAACGGGUGAGUAACACGUGAGUAACCUGCCCUUGACUUUGGGAUAACUUCAGGAAACUGGGGCUAAUACCGGAUAGGAGCUCCUGCUGCAUGGUGGGGGUUGGAAAGUUUCGGCGGUUGGGGAUGGACUCGCGGCUUAUCAGCUUGUUGGUGGGGUAGUGGCUUACCCAGGCUUUGACGGGUAGCCGGCCUGAGAGGGUGACCGGCCACAUUGGGACUGAGAUACGGCCCAGACUCCUACGGGAGGCAGCAGUGGGGAAUAUUGCACAAUGGGCGGAAGCCUGAUGCAGCAACGCCGCGUGCGGGAUGACGGCCUUCGGGUUGUAAACCGCUUUCGCCUGUAACGAAGCGUGAGUGACGGUAAUGGGUAAAGAAGCACCGGCUAACUACGUG